rnacentral:rRNA from 1 species
AUUGAACGCUGGCGGCAGGCCUAACACAUGCAAGUCGAACGAGUGGCGGACGGGUGAGUAAUGUCUGUGAAACUGCCUGAUGGAGGGGGAUAACUACUGGAAACGGUAGCUAAUACCGCAUACCAUCAGAUGUGCCCAGGUUGGAUUAGCUAGUUGGUGGGGUAACGGCUCACCAAGGCGACGAUCCCUAGCUGGUCUGCGAGGCUGACCAGCCACACUGGAACUGAGACACGGUCCAGACUCCUACGGGAGGCAGCAGUGGGGAAUAUUGCACAAUGGGCGCAAGCCUGAUGCAGCCAUGCCGCGUGUAUGAAGAAGGCCUUCGGGUUGUAAAGUUCUUUCAGUGGGGAGGCGUUACCCGCAGAAGAAGCACCGGCUAACUCCGUGCCAGCAGCCGCGGUAAUUC